rnacentral:rRNA from 1 species
GGGUGGAUUAGUGGCGAACGGGUGAGUAACACGUGAGUAACCUGCCCUUAACUCUGGGAUAAGCCUGGGAAACUAGGUCUAAUACCGGAUAGGAGCGCCUACCGCAUGGUGGGUGUUGGAAAGAUUUAUCGGUUUUGGAUGGACUCGCGGCCUAUCAGCUUGUUGGUGAGGUAAUGGCUCACCAAGGCGACGACGGGUAGCCGGCCUGAGAGGGUGACCGGCCACACUGGGACUGAGACACGGCCCAGACUCCUACGGGAGGCAGCAGUGGGGAAUAUUGCACAAUGGGCGCAAGCCUGAUGCAGCGACGCCGCGUGAGGGAUGACGGCCUUCGGGUUGUAAACCUCUUUCAGUAGGGAAGAAGCGAAAGUGACGGUACCUGCAGAAGAAGCACCGGCUAACUACGUGCCAGCAGCCGCGGUAAUACGUAGGGUGCGAGCGUUAUCCGGAAUUAUUGGGCGUAAAGAGCUCGUAGGCGGUUUGUCGCGUCUGUCGUGAAAGUCCGGGGCUUAACCCCGGAUCUGCGGUGGGUACGGGCAGACUAGAGUGCAGUAGGGGAGACUGGAAUUCCUGGUGUAGCGGUGGAAUGCGCAGAUAUCAGGAGGAACACCGAUGGCGAAGGCAGGUCUCUGGGCUGUAACUGACGCUGAGGAGCGAAAGCAUGGGGAGCGAACAGGAUUAGAUACCCUGGUAGUCCAUG